rnacentral:rRNA from 1 species
GACGAACGCUGGCGGCGUGCUUAACACAUGCAAGUCGAACGGAAAGGCCCUGCUUUUGUGGGGUGCUCGAGUGGCGAACGGGUGAGUAACACGUGAGUAACCUUCCCUUGCCUUUGGGAUAACUUCAGGAAACUGGGGCUCAUACCGGAUAGGAGCUCCUGCUGCAUGGUGGGGGUUGGAAAGUUUCGGCGGUUGGGGAUGGACUCGCGGCUUAUCAGCUUGUUGGUGGGGUAGUGGCUUACCAAGGCUUUGACGGGUAGCCGGCCUGAGAGGGUGACCGGCCACAUUGGGACUGAGAUACGGCCCAGACUCCUACGGGAGGCAGCAGGGGGAAAUAUGGCACAAUGGGCGGAAGCCUGAGGCAGCAACGCCGCGUGCGGGAUGACGGCCUUCGGGUUGUAAACCGCUUUCGCCUGUGACGAAGCGUGAGUGACGGUAAUGGGUAAAGAAGCACCGGCUAACUACGUG